AUUGAACGCUGGCGGCAUGCCUUACACAUGCAAGUCGAACGGUAACAGGUCUUCGGACGCUGACGAGUGGCGAACGGGUGAGUAAUACAUCGGAACGUGCCCAGUCGUGGGGGAUAACUACUCGAAAGAGUAGCUAAUACCGCAUACGAUCUGAGGAUGAAAGCGGGGGACCUUCGGGCCUCGCGCGAUUGGAGCGGCCGAUGGCAGAUUAGGUAGUUGGUGGGAUAAAAGCUUACCAAGCCGACGAUCUGUAGCUGGUCUGAGAGGACGACCAGCAACACUGGGACUGAGACACGGCCCAGACUCCUACGGGAGGCAGCAGUGGGGAAUUUUGGACAAUGGGCGAAAGCCUGAUCCAGCAAUGCCGCGUGCAGGAUGAAGGCCUUCGGGUUGUAAACUGCUUUUGUACGGAACGAAAAAGCUCCUUCUAAUACAGGGGGCCCAUGACGGUACCGUAAGAAUAAGCACCGGCUAACUACGUGCCAGCAGCCGCGGUAAAAC
rnacentral:rRNA from 1 species